rnacentral:rRNA from 1 species
AUACGAAGGUGGCGAGCGUUAUUCGAAAUCACUGGGCUUAAAGAGCAUGUAGGCGGCCUAUCAAGCGUUGUGUGAAAUCCCUCGGCUCAACCGAGGAACUGCAUGGCGAACUGGUAGGCUUGAGGCAAGUAGGGGCGAGUGGAACUCUUGGUGGAGCGGUGGAAUGCGUAGAUAUCAAGAGGAACGUCGGAGGCGAAGGCGACUCGCUGGGCUUGUCCUGACGCUGAGAUGCGAAAGCUAGGGUAGCGAACGGGAUUAGAUACCCCGGUAGUCCUAGCCCUAAACGAUGUCAACUAGACCGGAGUACUUCUGACAGUUUUCCGGUCGGAGCAAAAGUGUUAAGUUGACCGCCUGGGGAGUACGGUCGCAAGGCUAAA